CUUCAUAUGCGCGGGAGCUUGGUGAAGCCAGGCUGAGAGGAUAACCGAAUGUUAUCGACCGUUAAACCUGAUCUGGGUAAUGCCAGCGGAGGAAACACGUAGCCUUUGUAU
rnacentral:ncRNA from 2 species